rnacentral:tRNA from 1 species
GGCCUCGUAGCUAAGUUGACUAGAGCGUUUGGCUGUAUGAAAGCCUUCCCCUUGCUGGCGUGGGGUCAAAUCCCACCGAGGCCG